rnacentral:lncRNA from 1 species
UCUCAAGCUCCAGUGUAAGACGUAGGGCCUGUCUCUGUCUCUCUCUGUGUCUCAAGUACCAGUUCAACAAGUAGGGCCCGUCUCUCUGUGUCUCUCUGUGUAGCACCAGUGCAGCAAGUACAGCCUGUCUCUCUCUCUCUCUGUGUCUCUGUCUCUCUCUGUGUCUCAAGCACCAGUGCAAGACGGUACUGUUGAGGGUGCGGAUGCUGUACUACCUCAGACAGGAGGUGAUUGGGGACCAGGCUGACAGGGUCCUGAGAGGGGCAGACGCCAGGUAACCCCCCUCUAUCUCUGUGCAGUGUUGAUGUACUGGAGUGUCCAGUCAGUCAGUGUGUCUGUAUGAACCCCUCUCUCUCAGUGCAGUGUUAAUGGACUGGAGUGUCCAGUCA